UACGGAGGGUGCGAGCGUUGUUCGGAAUCACUGGGCGUAAAGCGCACGUAGGCGGUUUGUUAAGUCAGGGGUGAAAUCCCAGAGCUCAACUCUGGAACUGCCUUUGAUACUGGCAAGCUCGAGUCCGGAAGAGGUAAGUGGAACUCCUAGUGUAGAGGUGGAAUUCGUAGAUAUUAGGAAGAACACCAGUGGCGAAGGCGGCUUACUGGUCCGGAACUGACGCUGAGACGCGAAAGCGUGGGUAGCAAACGGG
rnacentral:rRNA from 1 species